CUUUUCCAGAUUCAGGAUAGCUUCUCCCGCAAGGUAGGAUGAAGAUUCGAAAACCACUCUAACAACAUGAACAUCUGACACACAGUCAAUCGCCCAAGAGAACCCCAUCAGCUCCGCCUCCAGGCGCGUAUGGAUGGAAGAGUAGGAGCUACGACUGUGUAGUAGAGUCUGGCCUGAGUUGUUUCGCAAGUACCACUAUUCUCGGUUUCACAGAUUUAGGAGGUACCAAUGUUGCACUUUACAAAACUAGUUUGAACGUGACCUUUUUUUUUUUUAACUUGACCUCUUCCCUUUUGUUUUCCUCCAUUAAUGUAAAUGAAACUUCAUACAAUAUGUAAUAUAUGUUCAUUUCUUAUGAAAUUUUUGUAAAAUAGCUUUAAAAUUCUAUGUAUAUUAAAGAUAAUGUAAAUAAUAAAAAAAUGCGAGAAUUUCGGGAGAUUGAAAACAAGUUUUAAAGCUGUUUUUUAGGUUUUAGAUUUAUUAUAUCCGUUUUAGAAAAAAAAAAGAAUAUCUAGAAUAUCAUUAAAAUAAACUGUUCAUUUUGGGUAAUGUAAAUAAUGUAAGAUUUACUGAGAAUUUCGGAAGAUUGAAAACGAAUUUUAAAACUGUUUUUUUAUGGAUUUUAGAUUUAUUACAUCCAUUUUUAAAAUAAAAUUAUCUAAAAUAUCAUUAAAUGAACUGUAUAUCUUGGAUGAUGUAAAUAAUGUAAGAUUUACUGAGAAUUUCUGAAGAUUUAAAACGAGUUUAAAAUUGUGUUUACUCGGUUUUAGGUUUAUUAUGUUAUCUUUUGCAGAAUUUUUUUCUGAAUAUAUUUAAAAUGAAGUGUAUAUAUUGGGUAAUGUAAAUAAUGUAAGAUUUAUUGAAAUUUUGGAGACAUUCAAAAUGAUUUUUAAAAUUGUGUUAAUGAGGUUUGGUUUAUUUUACUUCAUUUUGAAGUAUAGUAGGACUUUAAUAGGGUCAUAGAAUAUGCUAGUAGUGGUUUAAUCGGAAAAACAUAGUCCUAAAAAAUGAUUAGGCCGUAUUGUGUGUAAUCGGACUAUUAGGAUUAUUGGAUUUAUGUGUGUAACCGGACUAUUAGGAUUACUGGGUUUAUUGUGUGUAAUUCGGACUACUAGGAUUACUGGGUUUAUUAUGUGUAAUUCGGACUACUAGAAUUACUUGGUUUUAUAUGUGUAAUUUGAAACCCCUAUAUAUUGUAAUUAGUACGUUUAUUUAACAUAUAGAACCCAUAUAUUACCUAUUAGUAGACUAUGUAUAUAGUAAAUAACACUAUUAAAACUAUUUUAGAUGAUUAUUUUCUAUAGUUUUAGGAAUACUUAUCAAUUUCCUAAAAUGAUUCCUUAAUUUGCAUGGUUGUUGUGGGAAUCGUAAGGUAUAGUAAGAAAAAUCUAUGAAAAUAGUUAUUUCUUGCAAACUGUUUAUGUAAUACUCUUAAUGAUAUUCAUUGCAUAAAGUCAUUUGUUUUACCACAAAAUAUCUCAUAUGUACAUAGUUUUAUUAAUAAAACUUAAAAUUUGCCAAAAUAUUACUAUGAGUACAUCAGUAUUACUACUACCUUGAAGAUUACCAAGAAUUACUAAGUGUAAUUAGAAUAUUAAAUUUAAGUAUAUAACGGUUGCAUGUAAACAUGAAUACUUUUUAAAUUAUUAUUCAGGAACACACGACUUACAUAUUCCUCGAAAUCUAAAGAAGCUAUGAAGGAAUACGAAAUGUAUUAUGAUAAACUGAGAAAAUUUAAAAAAGUACAAGUGCAUAGAGUUAGAGUAAAAACAUAUGAUAAACUGCAGAUUCAAGAGAGAAGGUAGGACGAAGGAACUAUCUCUAUACAUUUUUUUCAGUUAAAAGCUUAACACUCUCAGAUAUUGAACUCCACAAACAUAGUUAACAAUGAACUGGAUUAUUGAUGCAAAAAGACAUACACACAACAAUGACAACAUUA